AUGGCUCUAGUUGGUCAGGCUGCCAUGGUUGCGCAGUUUGCAGGAGUGGACGCCUACGGGCUCAUCAAGAUGAUCGCCGAUGCGGCGCAGACGGUCCGGAGGAACAGAGCCACCUGCCUGCAGCUCGCGCGCCGCGCCAAGAUGAUCGGGGACCUGCUGCACCAGCUCCACGCCGCGCAGCUCAUGCAGCAGCCGGAGACGAGGAACCCGAUGGAGCAGCUCGAGGAGACACUCCGGCGCGCGCUGCUGCUCGUCAGGUCCUGCCAGGGCCGUGGAUACCUCUACCGGUGCUUCAUGGGGGCGCGGCACGCCGACGAGCUCCGCGAGGUGCAGGGUGAGAUCACCUUCUACCUCCAGCUUUUCCCUCUCGUCAGCUACGUCGACACCACCCUCACCUGGGUCAGACUCCUCAACAAAGCUGGUGCUCCUGAACCUCCUUCAUGCAAAGAGGCACCUGUGGUAAGACCAUAUUUUGUGCCGGAUGAAUGGUUCUUGCUAGUUUCUCAUUCAGGAAGUAUACCUUGGCACUGUAUACACAUGGUUUACAUCCUUCUCUUCUUGUAA
rnacentral:rRNA from 1 species